rnacentral:lncRNA from 1 species
UACCGACGAUCGCGUUGUACGAUGUUGGGCGGUCGAUGACUAAUAAUUUCGUGACUUUGAUGACGCUCCCGGCUUUAACAACGAGGUCGAUCGAGCCAAGAGUUAUAGUAGCAUCUCCCGAGAGUCCGAAUAUCGGGCUGGGUCCUUCCGUAACGGCGCACAGAUCGAUCUCCAUUCUUUCGAGUGUACUUUUGUAGAUAAUAUUGGCCGAGCAUCCGGUGUCGACCAACACUCUCGCAACGUUGAUGUCCUGGAUCGUCAGCUCGAUGAAAAGGAGAUCGUUGUGGGGUUUGGCCUGAUCGGCCGUUGCCCGGUCCUUGAAAGAAACGACAUCGUUAGCUGCUGGAGCGGACAUCCUGUGUCUUUUAUCGUUUAGUGAUUUUUGAGUUAGAGAAUUCGUCCUU